rnacentral:misc_RNA from 1 species
UUGGAAGUGCUUAGUACAACCCUGAAAAAUGCACCACGGGUAGGAAAACAAUUUAUCAAUCACCAAACAAAGGAAAUGAUAAGGAUUAAAAUUGAUUCCAAAACAGGGGUCUGAUUACAGGAGAGUGGUACAGGGCAAAUUGCAUCAUAUAAUAUAAUUUAGAUUUAGACACUGAAAUAUGAAAGUUUACCAUAGAAACAUAACAAAAAAAAAGAUUCUAUGGAAUAAACAUUUUGUAUAUGCGGAACUCAAAGAUCAAGACAUAUAGAGACUGUGAGCCAGAAGAAACAUUAAAAGGCCCUUAUCAAACCCACUGCCACUCAUCCACAAAGCAGAGACAACAAACAGGAUCCAAUGAGAUUAAAGCCAGAAAGCUAACAUGAAGAACAAGAAUUUCUAUGCCAUAUCCAAAGA